UAGAGACUUCUUUCGUUCCACAAAAUAUGUCUCAAAUUUGUCAAAAUUUAAAUGUAUCUAGACAUGACUUAGUGUAUAGAUUCAUUCAAAUUUAGUUAAAGUUGAGACAUUCUUUGUUGGACAGAGGGAGUAUAUU
rfam:Brachypodium distachyon strain Bd21 chromosome 3, whole genome shotgun sequence.